rnacentral:rRNA from 1 species
GAUGCGGCAUGUGACUGGAGUUCAGACGUGUGCUCUUCCGAUCUGGAAUAUUGGGCAAUGGGGGCAACCCUGACCCAGCGACGCCGCGUGGGGGAAGACGGCCUUCGGGUUGUAAACCUCUUUUGUACGGGAAGAAGGAAGUGACGGUACUGUACGAAUAAGUCCCGGCUAACUACGUGCCAGCAGCCGCGGUAAUACGUAGGGGACGAGCGUUGUCCGGAAUUACUGGGCGUAAAGGGCGCGCAGGCGGUUUGUCAAGUCAGCUGUUAAAAAUGGGGGCUUAACCCUCAUAUGCUGUUGAAACUGGCAGACUGGAGUGCUGUAGAGGCAAGUGGAAUUCCCAGUGUAGCGGUGAAAUGCGUAGAUAUUGGGAAGAACACCGGUGGCGAAGGCGACUUGCUGGGCAGCAACUGACGCUGAGGCGCGAAAGCCAGGGGAGCAAACGGGAUUAGAUACCCCGGUAGUCCUGGCCGUAAACGAUGAAUGCUAGGUGUGGGUGUAGAGAUACAUUCGUGCCGGAGUUAACGCGAUAAGCAUUCCGCCUGGGGAGUACGGUCGCAAGAUUGAAACUCAAAGGAAUUGACGGGGGCCCGCACAAGCGGUGGAGCACGUGGUUUAAUUCGAUGCAAACCGAAGAACCUUACCUGGGUUUGACAUGUACGUGGUACGGAGAUGAAAGUUGAAGGACUCCGCCUUCGGGUGGAGAGCGUACACAGGUGCUGCAUGGCUGUCGUCAGCUCGUGUCGU